AUGAAUGUGCACAUGUGUGGAUAAUUCACAAGUCUGAAAGAUAGAAAGAGGAGGAUGAAGAGGGAGAGAGACAGACAUGAUCCCUUAGUUUCCACAUCGCUAAUUGAUAACUCUCGUGCUGGUUUCUCGAGCUUUUAGAUGGUAUCACGAAAGAAACCGGCUCAGCUAACUCCGACCCAUUCCUUCCUAGCCUGAAUGAAUUUGAUUCGAAAUACUGCGCCAGUGCCUUUCUUAGUUGCAAGAUAUUCUUUGGAGACAGAUCUUGAUCCUGAAGCCUGCAAAGAUGAUGUAGGACGAGCAGUGAGCUGAUAC